AGAAGAGUUUGGCAAAAAAAAAAAAGCAGAGAAAAGGAACAAAGACAGAAAAAGAGGGGAAGAGAGAGGCAGAUUGGCAAGAGGGCUGAUUGCAGAGUGUCUAGUUGUAAGAUAAACGGUACAUGAAGAUCAUCUAGAUAGUUUCGCUGGAAGAGUGUGAGAGCUUGUCUUGUCAUGAAACAACUGAACUUUGUGCAGGCUUUCGUAACAAUGGCAGUUAGGCGUCCACCGUUGCAGCUUAGCUGUCAGGAUGAGUCUCUGCUUGUCCUCGUUUCCUGGUUCCUGUUACAAAGAUGGUUUUUCCACCUCACAAGUGUACUGUGACGUAUCCAGGCCGGCACAGAAUGCUGUUCCCUGCGGGCAAACAGGUGGACUGAAGAGCUGGCUGUGAUGGACAGGAGAGAGAUGCAGUAUCACGAGGCAUUUGUUGUAUUGUACACACGAACAAAAACUGCCUCAAAUAGUUAAUAGUGUGAAGAAGGGAAAAAAAGAGAGCUCUAAAGAGAGGUGUUCAAACUCUUUCUCACCUCUGCACAGCUGGCCAAUCAGGGUGUGAAGCGGGUGUCAGUGUGGGAUUGUAGAUUUUCGGGAAAGUUAAAGAAGUGGUCGAAUACAGCUCCCCUUAAUCCAGUGUUGGAAAGGUGUUUUGAGGAAGGAGUUUCCGAAGCUAUUCCACCAUCCAACAAGCAGUUCUGACGGAUUAUUUGACAUAUCUUAUUUUCUAGCUGUUCCGAACAGCCACACUCAAAGGCGGGCUGAAAAGCCGGCUUAACUGGGGAUGUUGUGGUUGUGGUAGUUCACCCUGGACCCCAAGACUCUUUUUAUUCUUUACAUUUUGGGUUCUCUGGGGGAGUGGAGGCGUGUAAUGCUGAGUGGCAGCAUGACAUGCAUACUUUAUAAGCAGAAGAAGCCGAAGCAGGUAUAACAAAGUCAAGGUUUAUUCAAAGAAUCUGUUUCUGUCAGCUCCUAUCAUAUCUUCUCUUUUUCCACUCGAGCCUAAUGUAUGAUAGUGUUCUUUAAUGAAAAUUUGAUAUCAGUUGUGUUUUUUUAUGUUUUAUUAUAUGAAAUGUAUCAUUAGAAGAAGUCUGAUAUACAACACUGAAAAUAAUCAAAUAAAUAACAGAAUUGGUUUUGAUUAUGAUAGUUAUAAUGAUCAUUUGUAAGAAAUAAAACCUGUAUAGAUGUGCAA